CAGCCGCCGCGGUAAUACGUAGGGUGCAAGCGUUAAUCGGAAUUACUGGGCGUAAAGCGUGCGCAGGCGGUUGUGUAAGACAGGUGUGAAAUCCCCGGGCUUAACCUGGGAAUUGCAUUUGUGACUGCACGACUAGAGUGUGUCAGAGGGGGGUGGAAUUCCACGUGUAGCAGUGAAAUGCGUAGAUAUGUGGAGGAACACCAAUGGCGAAGGCAGCCCCCUGGGAUAACACUGACGCUCAUGCACGAAAGCGUGGGGAGCAAACAGGAUUAGAACCCGAGUAGUCCCUGUCUCUUAUACA
rnacentral:rRNA from 1 species